GGUCUCACGGUGGCUGUACCUGGGCUUCCCAUCCCGCAGCUCUCCGAUGUGACCCUCCUCUGCGCGGAAAAUUUCGACCCGGGGCGCCGGCAUCGCGACGCUCAGCCAGUGCCCGCGAGGCUCCCGGGAGAUGCGGGUAGUAAGGCCCUAAAGGGAGGAGCCUGGACACGGCCUGGAUUGAGAAAGAAGCAAGUAAACAAAAAUCCUCCGUAGCUGUGUGUAGCUUCAGGAGUGGAGAGCCGAGACACACCGACGGCGCCGGAGCGUCGCAAGAACAAUGGCUGCUGCAGUGGGUUGGGAGAGAAGACCCGGACAAGUUCCUAAAGGCACGGGAGGAACGCGGGCAAACCAGGUUUAGGGCCGCAGGCGAAUUGUGGAAGGAAUGACUUCCUCAACCUAUCAGCACCGUGGACAAUUCCCACUCCAAAGGCCCUGACCUUCGGCCUACUAGAUUCAGCAAAAUCUCUCUUCCUCCCUUCCUUCCUCCUUUCCUUCCUCCCUUCCUCCUUUCCUUCCUUCCUUCCUUCCCUCCCCUUCCUCCUCAUUUCCUUCCUUUCCUCCCUCCCCUUCUUCCUCCUUUCUUUCCCUUCCUCCUUUCCGCUCUUCCCUGUUUGCUUUGUUUCAAAAAA
rnacentral:antisense_RNA from 1 species